GUGGGGAAUAUUGGACAAUGGGCGAAAGCCUGAUCCAGCCAUGCCGCGUGUGUGAAGAAGGUCUUCGGAUUGUAAAGCACUUUAAGUUGGGAGGAAGGGCAGUAAGUUAAUACCUUGCUGUUUUGACGUUACCGACAGAAUAAGCACCGGCUAACUUCGUGCCAGCAGCCGCGGUAAUACGAAGGGUGCAAGCGUUAAUCGGAAUUACUGGGCGUAAAGCGCGCGUAGGUGGUUUUGUAAGUUGGAGGUGAAAUCCCCGGGCUCAACCUGGGAACUGCCUCCAAAACUGCAUGACUAGAGUACGGUAGAGGGUAGUGUAAUUUCCUGUGUAGCGGUGAAAUGCGUAGAUAUAGGAAGGAACACCAGUGGCGAAGGCGACUACCUGGACUGAUACUGACACUGAGGUGCGAAAGCGUGGGGAGCAAACAGGAUUAGAUACCCCGGUAGUCC
rnacentral:rRNA from 1 species